rnacentral:lncRNA from 1 species
GAAUUGGAAGCUGGACUGUAGACAUCAUUGGUUAAUGCCUGCAAAGAAAGUCUAGAGACUUUUGGAGAGCUUGAUCACGUAUACAUUAAACUUGAGUAUUCCGAGGUUGUGAUAAUGGGCAGAUUUCCACAAGUGUGCUCUUUGGAGGAUCUGGUGAAAAGCCAUUUGAUGUAUGCAGUUAGAGAGGAAGUGGAGGUUCUGAAGGAGCAGAUCAAAGAACUAAUAGAGAAAAACUCCCAACUGGAGCAGGAGAACAAUCUGUUGAAGACACUGGCCAGUCCGGAGCAGCUCGCCCAGUUUCAGGCCCAGCUGCAGACUGGCUCCCCUCCGGCUACCACGCAGCCACAGGGGACCACACAGCCCCCUGCACAGCCAGCGUCCCAGGGCUCAGGAUCAACCGCAUAGCCUGCUAUGCCCCAACAGAACUGGCUGCUGCUGUCUGAACUGAACAGACCGAAGAGAUGUGCUAGUGAGAAGCCGCCUCCAGUCACCCAUUUCAUUGCUGUCUGCGAAAGAGACGUGAGACUCACACAUGCUGUUCUCGCUUUCUCCCCAGUAUUAAGCACUCAUAUGCUUUUGGCUUGAAGAAAUAUACUAGUUGAGUGAAUUAAAGGUUAAACAGAGAGUGAGCAUGGAUGUACCCUGUGCAACGUGGCAGAUGUCUGAGGAAUGGUUUGAUUGACGCUGAGGAGGAGCUCUGUGCCUUUUCAACCCUCCCCAGCCGCCCACUCUACUCCCAAGCUCUGGGGCUCGCCUGCAUGGGGCUCAGAAGGUGGGCUGCUCCUGGAUUUUGUGUUCUCCUCUCC